CCACUCAUCGGCCACAAUCGGGUCUGUACUGCCCAUGAAGUGUCUCGUGCCCAGCCUUGAGACAUGUUCGAGAAGACUCAGAUAGUCUCCCCUUUUUCGCCCAUGAUUCGGUUGUGGAUUCACUUCCACAACUUCCGAGUCAUCGUCCUUUUGGUUAUCCACUCUUUGGACCACUGGAUCCGCUACAACGGCCUUGGUCAAUGUGGCUAGUUGCGCCAUCACUCCCUUCAUCAAAUCCCACUGUUCUUGGGCCGUUGGAGUAUUGUUCCGGUUAUCCGUGUUGUCCCUUGCACCACUACUCUCCGGUGCUUCCUCAUUUAUGGACUUCUUCCCGGCCUCAGGUCCGGCCGAGUCUGUCCCAUCGAGCAUCGUCCCGACUCUGGUUUUCUCGUUGAUCAUCGUUUCCUCCUCAACCAAAGUCUCCUCGACAAUGCCCUUAUCCUUCUUACUCUUUCCCGUUUUGCUGCUCUUACCCAUCUGCGAAACCUCCAAAGUUAAUCCACAUAACUCCUAGUAAAAUAGCAAAAGAGUAAAGAACAACUACCGCGAGAUUCUCAAGCCGACGAGUGGUGAUACCCCUUAACCCAACACCUAGUCCUAGAACCAAGCAUGCUCUGAUACCAACUUGAAAGGCCCCGAUCCGGACUGCCUAAAGUCCGGACGAGUUCUCUCGACCUAAGACAGUAAGUGACUCGGCCCUAACCGUUUAUGAGGUUCUUUCCUAGUCUAAUCCGUUCCAUAUGAUUCCGUGAUUCAAUAUAUGAGACGAAUAGAGUAAACAAACAAUCGGAUACUUUAUUGAUUAAGCAAAGGAUUCGAUACAACCUAUGAGUUUGCAUAUAAGCUAUUACAAGUCAUAUAAUCGAUCCCUAGACUAUCCGAACUAUCACCACCCAUCAUCCCGGCCUUGAGUCUCUCGCGCCUAAGCCAAGUCCUUCCCACGAUCACCAUUUGUUCAUGAAAGUCAUAGAGCCAUAAGUAAUCUCAUUUACUUAAUCAUAUGCAAGUCCAUGCAAUGCUCUAUAUGCCAUACACUACUCGGAUCCGUGGAGAGAAUUCAGAGAGGGGAAGAUCGCGCAUCAGUCCGGCCGAUUCUCGGCAGGUCAGUUAAGACCCGCCGGUCCUCCGUCGAGCCGUGUCCCCGCCUCAGCUGAUCCCUACCCGGACCGAGUCUUGUGUAGGAUGCACAUGACCCGGAUACUACCAAGCCCUCUAGUCAAUCCUUUCAAGGAUCCGACUACUUACUCACAUCCUAGAACCCUUAGACUCAAAGUCUAGGAUCCCUUACCUUCCUUCUCGAGGUUAGGUCGAUCCGACCCUCCUUCUUUAUUGCCGGCCACAGCCCGGCUACCGAAUCCUAAGACUAUUUAUUCUCCCAAGAGGGAGAGAGUUUUAAUGGUGAGUUUCUUGUGUUUUCGGUGUGUUGUGGUGAGUGGAAUGGUCCCGGGCGCCCUUCCUUAUAUAGGGGGCGAAAGGAUGCUUCCCGAAUCAAUACAUCCGUUCCUUGCACCUUUCCGAAGAGUUGCACCUUUCCGAAGAGUUGCGCCCUUCCGAAGAGUUGCACCUUUCCGAAGAGUUGUAUCUCUUCGCCCAUAACCGCCCAGCUAGUCCGUCACUCGUCCAGCUACCUCGAGCUCAUCCGUCACUCGUCCAGCUACCUCGAGCUCAACCGUCACUCGUCCAGCUGCCCGAGCUGGACUGUCACUCGACCUGAGUAACCGUCAGUCCUUCCAGCUGAGCUUGAGCUUUGGGCGAGCUGACCCAGCUGAUUUCUUUACGAUCCUAGCUUAGCCUGCAUGAUUUCCCCUUUGUCCGAGCUUAUGGCCAGCUCCUUCUCACUUGUCCGAGACUCCACCUUCAUCUCUCGGACCAAGUCCUAGCCAACGAUCCUAUUGAGGAUCGCGGGCGUUACAUAAUCGAUAAGACAACCUUAAUAAACUCAAAGAUAACAAAACCAAACCUAAAGGAAGGGAGAAUCGAAAACAUGCAAGAAUGAAAUCAAACAUGCAAGAACUAAAACCGGAACUCACAAUCACCGGCGAAUCCUCCUAACUUGGUCGACGAUCUCUAACUCGGGCUCUCUCUCUUUCUCUCUCGGGUUAUCCUAAAGGUUCGGACGAUCGGGUUUUUUUUGGGCAGCCUUUCGGUGAGAAAAUUUCUAAGUGUUCGACUAAAGGGG
rnacentral:sRNA from 1 species